rnacentral:lncRNA from 1 species
UUUAAUCUUUAUUUAAUCUUUGAUUAAGAUUCUUCAGAAGAACAAAGACUGUACUUUUGUCUUUUUGUAAACAUUGACUGCAUCUACCCCCAAAGUGACAGCCGUCGCCAUAGGGCAGAUAAAAAUGGGGCAUUUUCUUCUUGCUAUUCUUAGAUACUGUCAUUUAAAUGGAAACCAAGUUAAAAUAGAGAUAGUGAAUAGUUUAAGAGGCAGAUGUUGCCUUUCUUUGCUAUCUUUUACCCCAAAACUUCAGCUGUGAUCCUAAGACUGACUGGCAAUAUUGUCUACUGUCUUUUAUCAUGCUCCAAAAAGCAGUUGAUUAUCUUGGAAGGGCUUCAAAAGCAAUUAAGAAAAUCCCUUAUGUCAAGUUACAUUUCAGACAGGACAAAUUAGAUGUAUGGGGAAAUGUCCUGAUAAAGUACUCAAGAAAUAAUGAAUCUGUGUACAAUUUGUAAUUGCUCCUGCAAAGAAUUUACAACAUAAAAGAGGUUGUUAACCUGAGACUGGAAGCUCAGAGACGUUUUUUCUUUUCAUUACAAAUGCAAAUGCCUUAUGAAACUGAGCCCAGAGCAUUUUUAAAUGUCCAAAAUGUAAUUCAAAACAUUGUUUAUUACAUUUCUGUCUGGGCUCUUCACUGCAUCACAAGCUGCUUUGUAAAUGCUGAUUUUUAAGCCAGCAGGUCUGCAAUGAAAAAAUGACCCAUUUGGCUCACUAAUGUGGAGCAGAUCCUAAAGGGUGGAUCUGUGCCAGAAGGAAGGGUAAGGGUUAUCACCGAUGCCGCAAACGGGUGGUGAUGGAUGGUGAUUGAAAAGACAUUUCGUUGUUAAAUGUCCAUGAGAUUGCUGCAUUUGGUGUCCACUUUAUACAUUAAAGAUGGACAGAUGGGAUCUUCAAUCUGCAUGACCCCAUCCUUGUGACAACAGAACAGCGCAGGCUCUGUGGAGUCCAUGGAUGGCUGAUAAUUAGUCUGUGGGGACAGGCGUUGGUGGGUUGAAUGUUGGAGGCUGGAGAGUCUCAGUCACGAAUAGGCAUCAUCUAGAUAGAAUACUGUUAUCACAAUGUUGGGAAAUUCAAAUGCAAUUUCCUUUCCUUAUGAACUCUAUUCCCCUUUGAGUAAAAUGAUCUCAACUCUUCCAAACUACUUGAAUUUUAUCCUCAAUUUCCUAACUUUUGAAGUAUGGGUGUGUCCACUGCUAAUUCUUCCCCCGUGAUAAACAUUAGCAAGGGGGAAAUUAUUCUAGGGUUAUCAUACAAUAUUUAUAGACCACUUUUUAUUUGGGAAGUGUUUGAAGGUGUCUUAAAUACGAGCUGUUUCCAAAUAACCUCAGGCUCAUUUUUCAUCUUGAUCCAAAUCCCAUGGAAGCAAACCAAUCAUGAAGCUCUCUCAAAAGUCAUUGGGAGCCCCGGGCUCAGAACCCAGCUGUGGAGCGUGAACUAUUAGGUUCUGUGCUGCUGGAAGCUUGCAGUAACUGACCCACUGGGACUGGCGCUCAUUUAAGAAUCAAAGUUGAUGCUUUGUUUCCAGAAGCCUUUGCCCGAGCUGGGGAAAGUAGACUAAAUCCCUCAUAGGAGUUCAAACUGUAUAGACCUUACUUUUUACACGAUUGCUUUUGAAAUGGUUCAACAAAGUGAUGUCUCUUCUGUUUAAAGAACAGGAAACAACAACAACAACAAAGCCAGUGAAAAACAAAUGUCAGGGUAUUCCUAUCCACAGGAUGACUCUGAUUUCCAAGUUUGUCUUCAUUAACGUUCUAGUCCACUUUCAUCGGUCCCCAUCCUCUCCUGAUGGAGGAAUGGGAGGCACAGUGUUGAUAAGCGUGUUGUUUACGUCUCACAGCUGGCAAGUGGUGGAGUCAGGAUUCAGGCUCAGGCGAGGACUCCAUCUUCUCUGAAGUUGUGCCAAGUCACAUGUGCUUGGGGGGACUUGUUUUUAAUCUAGAACUUUGAUAUUUCACUUUACACGUGCUCGUUGAUGUGAUCUUCAGGAAAUGUUUGGAAUGAAGAAAUGAAGGGGAGCAGCACCCACCUGCAUCUGGGUUUGUAUCAUAUCAUGAAGAGCUGGGGGGCUGGUCUUGUGCUCCAAGAAAGGCAAUGACCCAUGACAAACGCUUCGGGAAUAGUCAGCAUAUUCCUUGGCCAUGGGGCCAGCUGUUUCUGACUGCACACUGUGUGGUGGGAAGUCCCCUCUCCAAGCUGGACCCUUUCUGGGAACCACACAGUCUAUUAACUUUACAACGGCAAAUAUAACUGCAGGUGGCUGUGUGCAAGACUGGGUUGCAGGAUAAACAUGAUGAGGUAUCCACUUUCUGGGGACAAAAUGGAAAGUUUUAUCUUUUCUGUUACACUUACAACAAUAGCAGGUAGAAUGUGCAGGCUUUUGCCAAGUUUUGGUUAUACUUAUUUAUAUGAGAGAAGUAGAAUGUGAAAAGUUUGUGAUAUUGUAUUUGAGUACUUCCUCAAGUAAGCCCUCACAUUAUUUUCAUCAUCAGUUUAGAUGAAUCUUUCUCUCUACAUCCCUUUCUUUACUUGGCUUUACCAUAUGUAAAUCUGAGCGUGUUAAUCCACAACUAUUUAUUGAGUAUCUACAAUGUGUAAUUUCCUGUGCAUGUGGGAAUAUCAAGAAGAAGAAAGCAUGAUCCUUGUCCUAUAGGAUCUUGAAUCUAAUAAGAG